UUGAAAAUCAAAUUCAAAUAAAAAUAGAAAUAAAAAACAUAUGUCGGAAUGAAUUGGAAAUUGCAAAGAACUUAUGUCGUCUACAUGUUUGUAAUCCAAAAUUAAAUCCACCAAAUUCAAACAACAUGAAAAAUCCAUCAAUCAUUGCAAUUGUUUUAAUCACAAUACAUGUAGUAAUGAAUGAUUAUGGAUAUAAAACUUGUGACAACUACAAAUACCAAACAAUUCACAAGGAUAAAAUAUACCAAAUUACUAAACCCCUACUGCUUAGAAGACAGAAUAAUAACAAAAAAAAAGAACAUAAUAAGAAGAAAUUGGGUACCUGUUUUACAAACAGAGAAGAAGACGAGGCAAAAAACUGAUCAAUCAGGUAGAAUGAGGGAAGAUAUCCUUUUAUUAUUAGGCUAAAGGGUAUUUUGGUCAUAAUCUAACCUUUAAUCUUCCAGGCGUUUUCUUUCUCUUCGAUUCCGCCCCAUUUUGGGAGGAAAGUUUGGAACGGUACAAAUCCUCCCAAAUAUGUUCUCUUCAUCUCUUCUCUUCAAAAAAAAAAAAAAACUCUGGAGCACCCAAACUUCUCUUCUUUCCUUCCAAAUCCUUUCACUCCCGUCUCUUCUUUCAUUAAGUGAUACUCAGGAGCAGGGUGUUUGCCACCGAUCGCUCCCCUGCUAUGCCUUCUUCGCCACCGACCUCUACUGUGUCAUCCACCACCACCACCACCAUCCCCACACUCCAUCAUGUCCCCACGCCCCCACCACGCAUCAGACAACAUCGCAACCAGUACACUACCAUCGCUCAACGACCAUACAACACUACCCUCUUUAUCUCUCUAAGAAACCCUAGAUUGUUAUCGCUGCUACACCCCCACUCUCUAUCUCUCCUUUAUGUCCUAUAUUAAAAGCCACCGCUGUCACCUACUUCUCAUCCCUAUCUGUCUCUCUCUAAUAAAACAACUCACCAUCACCAUCGUUAUUGUCCCUUGCCCUUCUCCCCCUACUGCAAGCACUAGAUCUAAACCACCAGUCGCCACCAUUAAUAACCAAACUCCCUAUUUCUUCUUCUUUCUCACUUAAAGAUAUUGAUUGCAACAUAGCUACAAAUUUGAAACCUUGCAACAUGCAUCAUCUACCUGAAAGGCUAUUCAUUACAGACGAGGAAUGCCAGCUGACAGUUCUAUUGGAGAAUUGAGUGUCAAGCAACAACAACAUGAUUGUUAUGAAAUCCUACCUGAUGGCCCAUGAAGUCUUUGAUAAAAUGCCAAAGCGAACACCAACUUUCUAUAUACCCAUCCACCUUCAUAAGGAGCAAUUUUGGAGCUUUACAUAGUCAUUAAAUGUAUUUGUAGCAGAUGCUUCAGCUGGUGCAUGUAAUUAUGUUUUGUUUGGUCAUGAAAUGGGUGCUUAACUAUGUAUGCGACCUUACAUUAUACUACCAAAGGAAGAGUGCAAGGAAUCUUCCUAAGUCUGUAUUGCCAAAUUUGAGUACUCAUCUUCUAGAAGUCUUUGUGGAAUCUAAAGUGCUUGUUUGUUGAAGAAAACUUGUAUACCACGUUCAUUGUCAUUUGUGGGAUUAUCUCAUGUUGUUGAUUUAUCUAGGCCGUGGUGUGCUUUCAUUUCAAUAAUGUAAAUAAAUUGCAGUUGACUAUAUGGUUCGAAGCAUUUAGAAUAAAAAUGUUAAGGUAGUGUCCAACUUUUAUAUGUUAAAGUUGGUUUUUAUUUCUGGACUCAGGUGUUUUGAGAUUACCUCUUAUGGGUUUGGAUAUCUCCUCCUGCUAUUUUGAAGAUUGAGGUAUUCCCCUCCCAAUCUCUUUCAGGGCUGCUUGUGGUUGUUUCGAGUUUGGCAUAGUUGUUAGUCUCUUUCAUCUGUUAGGCUUUAGUUGUUAUUCCUUGAUUCUCUAAAUAUCGGGGGAUCUAUUAUUGUUGACAUGCUUCUACUCAUUUAUGAUAUUCAAGUUGUGAAUAGAUGGAUUUCAGACCAGGUUAUUGUAGUUAAUAAAAGAGAGAAGGCCUAACGAUGAAAAAUAUAUAAGUAAGAGGACGUUUCAAAGAUUCUGCUUCAAGUUUUAGUUAUGGAAGAUUUGAUUUUGAAGUUAGAGUAUUUAAAGUCAAAGUUUGCAAUGUUUAGUAUAUCUUUAAUUUUGAGUUUUUAUCCUUUUGUAAUUCAAAGUUUUUACCCUAUGUGUACUAUU